AGAGAGCAGCGGGGACGGAGCGGCAGAGCGCAGUCCUCUCCACUCUUUCAUACUAACACCAGAUACUAUGCUUAUCGCUUCGGGUGGCUCGCACUAGAACACAAGGGCAGCUGAACCGCCACGAGCCCAUGACUUUGGUUUGGCCUGCUAGUGAGUAGGAGCUCUAUGUGGAUCAGGAGUUGAAGAAGGAGCACCCCAGACUAGUGGUGAGCUAGUCGCACCACCCUCAGCUCCACGCAGCGUCUCCCCCUCCCACCUCCCUCUUACUCAGCCUAAUCCCGUCUUCCUCUGCCUCACCCUUUCCUCCCGCUCCUUGUGGGCGACACACACA